UACAGAGGUCUCAAGCGUUGUUCGGAUUCAUUGGGCGUAAAGGGUGCGUAGGUGGCGCCAUAAGUCAGGUGUGAAAUCUCGGGGCUUAACUCCGAAACUGCACUCGAUACUGCUCUGCUUGAGGACUGGAGAGGAGACUGGAAUUCACGGUGUAGCAGUGAAAUGCGUAGAGAUCGUGAGGAAGACCAGUGGCGAAGGCGGGUCUCUGGACAGUUCCUGACGCUGAGGCGCGAAGGCCAGGGGAGCAAACGGG
rnacentral:rRNA from 1 species